rnacentral:tRNA from 1 species
GUUUAAACAAUUUAAAUAAAAUAUUAGAUUGUGAUUCUAAAAAUAAGAGUUAAAUUCUCUUUUUAAACC